rnacentral:rRNA from 1 species
UGGGGAAUAUUGGACAAUGGGCGCAAGCCUGAUCCAGCCAUGCCGCGUGGAUGAUGAAGGCCCUAGGGUUGUAAAAUCCUUUCGUUGGGGACGAUAAUGACGGUACCCAAAGAAGAAGCUCCGGCUAACUUCGUGCCAGCAGCCGCGGUAAUACGAAGGGGGCUAGCGUUGUUCGGAUUUACUGGGCGUAAAGCGCGUGUAGGCGGACUUGUAAGUUGGGGGUGAAAUCCCGAGGCUCAACCUCGGAACUGCCUCCAAAACUACAAGUCUGGAGCAAGAUAGAGGCAAGUGGAAUUGCGAGUGUAGAGGUGAAAUUCGUAGAUAUUCGCAGGAACACCAGUGGCGAAGGCGGCUCACUGGAUCGGUACUGACGCUGAGGUGCGAAAGCGUGGGGAGCAAACAGGAUUAGAUACCCACGUAGUCCCUGAGCGGGCUGGCAAGGCGCAU